CAUUCCUGCAUCACACAUAAUGGCGUUCUUGACUGAUCAGCAACAAUCUUGUGUGGCAACUUAGCCACACAUCCAUGUUGACACAGGAGAAGGAAGAGAGCCGGAAGAACUACACAUCACGUGGCAUGUCUUGAAGGGGGCAUUCUGCUUUGCAAGCCAGGACACACCUCAGAAGAAUAUGGAGAGCAGAAAGGAGAGGAAGACUUGAGAUCCAGAGACAUGAACAACAAAGUGGUGUGAAGAUAAAAAGCUUGGAGUUACACUGCCAUAAGCGGAACCAACGUUAGGAGCCACUGGAAACUGCAGGAGACAGGAAGGAUCCCUAAGUCUGCAGAGGGAAUGUGGUCCUGCUAACACCUUGGAUUUUCACUCAUGGCCUCCAGAGAAGGCCACUAUAAGAGAAGAAAUGACUAUUGUCUUAAGGCUC